CCGAGAAGAAGACAGGCUCGAAGGAGUGUUUUUCACUCAGUGGCUCGCGGAACUUGGAACGUUGAAGGUGCUAGGAAAGCGCGCGCGCAUAUCUUUCCUCGUCGAAUCACGUGUGCGCGUUCCGUGUCGCAAUUACGGUCACCUGUUCUGUUCGUUAAUUGUUUCUCGAUCAGCGUCGUCGACGAAUUAGGUGCAUGCUUGUGCUCGCUCGAUGAAAAGUGAAAAAUACAUAUAUAUAUAUAUAGAUUUAUUUCCCUCGAGAAGUGCGAAAUCGUGGAUUCCUCUUCCCUCCGGAAGAAUCAGAAGCUCUGUACGAGUGUGGAAACUAAUCAGUAUUAAUGCUUCCAUUAAGUCUUUGAUUAUAACGGAAUUAAUUAUUCAAGAACACGCGAGUAACGGAAGAUCAUUCUUUUGGAGACCCACCUGAUAUAAAUUUAACACUUUGAGUGCGAAGUAAACACUCGUCAAAAUUCUUAAUAAAACAAAAACUGAGAAAUUAAGAUUCUUCGUAACGAUUGCUCUAUCUUCCUCAUACCUCAUACAUCCAAAAUUCGGUUCGUUCGAUACGUUA